GAGGUAAUUCAGGCAAUAGCCUUCUUUUUUUACCCGAUAUUGCUCUGUAACGAUUGAUCUUUACCUAAAGGGUAAUAAUAAAAGAGGGAGGAAAGUCCGGACACCUACUUGGUUUUCCAGGUUAAAAAGGUAGCGGGUAAUACCCGUCGUGCGAAAGCAUAGGGGUGCGAGCAGAGACGCUGCAAUAUCGAGAGAUACGCAGGAGCCCGAUCCCAACGUAGACGGCUCAACUCAGUUAUAGGGAUAAAAGACUGAGGUGAAACGGCUAAAUCCCUACCCAGGUGCAAGGCCGAGCUCCGACAUUCGGAGAGUGCCGCUAGAACUAUUGAGCAAUCAUUAGUCCAGAUAGAUUAUUGCCACCUUCUUCGGAAGGGACAGAAUCCGGCUUAUGAAUUGCCUCCAAA
rnacentral:RNase_P_RNA from 1 species